GUUUUGUCUGGGGCUCGUCCUGCUACAUUUCUUGGUUCCCUGAACAGGAAGCGAGGUAACUGACGGACGGCCAAGGCAGCCCCUUGGGUGGCUUAGGCCUGCCCUGUGGAGCAUCCCUGCGGUGGACUCUGGCCAGCCUGAGUGACGCGAUCCAAAGAGCGCUCCCGGGUAGGAAAUUCCCCGGGUGGAACGCCUCGCCAGAGCAGCACGUAGCAGGCCCCCGAGGAGGAUUAACACACUGGCUGAACACUGGGAAGGAACUGGCACUUGGAGUCCGGACAUCUGAAACUUGCAACCCACUCUCUGUGCUAUGACUUCAUUACUCUUUCCCAGCCCAGCCCUGGGCAAGCCCCUUACGAAGUCUCAGGCUACCUGGAUGACCACCCUUUCUUAUGAUGCUGCAAGGAGGGCAGGUGGGCAGAGCCCCGUGCAUCCUGGGCUCAGGCCAGGGACCCAAGAGCUUGGGAGAAGCUGGUUCUCAGACUGAAGGCCAGAGCCCAGCACCUUGUCACCAUCCCGGGGAGCAUCAUGGCACACAACAACCAGAGCCAAGAGUCACACACCCUCCAGACCACGGUUGUCUGUGAGUUGCUGGGGAACCGGAGCAGCUGGGGACACUGGCACUACAACUGUGAUGGCCAGGACUCCCUUCUUAGCACACUUGAGUCUUUCAACUCCAGCAAAAGCCAGCCAGAACCAAGCAUAGCUGCAGAAGGAGAGAAGGGAAGGAAACAAUCCUUCCUGACCUAGAGCUGCGUCUACCCUCUCCGGAAACACCUGAAAGCUGGGGUGGGACCACGGCCCACCGUAGGUGUGAUAGAUUGACAGGCCUCGGAAGUCAAAAUAAGUGGUUUCCUAGACCGGGUCGAGAGCAAGUCUCUAUUGGUCCCAACUGAGUUUUUUCAGCUGGUUUUUCAACCAAACAGCACCUCAUCUCCCAGUGAGGGGAAGGGAAGGCUGGGCUGAGAGCAGCAAGGCUGCUCAUCUCACCUCUCCCCACCCAGCCAUGCCAGCCGCCUCACCUGGUGGGGAGAGGUGGGCCUCACCUGGGUCCCCUGGCAGUGCUCUGUGAAGGGUCUUGACAUUGCACUGUAAUAAUAAAGGUGUGUGUGAAGUAUC
rnacentral:lncRNA from 1 species